rnacentral:rRNA from 1 species
UGAGGAAUAUUGCGCAAUGGGGGCAACCCUGACGCAGCGACGUCGCGUGAAUGAUGAAGUCUCUAGGGAUGUAAAGUUCUGUCAAGAGGGAGUAUAAUGAUAGUACCUCUAAAGGAAGCUCCGGCUAAUUACGUGCCAGCAGCCGCGGUAAUACGUAAGGAGCGAACGUUAUCCGGAUUUACUGGGUAUAAAGUGCGCGUAGGCGGUUACUUAAGUUAGGUGUUAAAUCCUUUAGCUCAACUAAAGUCUGCAUCUAAAACUGGGUAACUAGAGAGUAGUAGAGGAAAGCGGAACUCACAGUGUAGCGGUGAAAUGCAUAGAUAUUGUGAGGAACACCGGUUGCGAAGGCGGCUUUCUGGCCUAUUUCUGACGCUGAGGUGCGAAAGCGUGGGGAGCGAACGGG